AUACUAAUAAUCACUUGUGUUGAGAUAACAAUCGUGCUCUGCUACUUUCAGCUAUGCAAUGAAGAUUAUAACUGGUGGUGGAGAUCCUACUUGACUGCAGGUUCUUCUGCUCUCUACCUCUUCCUAUACUCGGUCUUCUAUUUCUUCACCAAGUUGGAAAUUACAAAGCUGGUUUCUGGCAUUCUUUACUUGGGGUACAUGUUAAUUGGAUCAUACACCUUCUUUGUCUUAACUGGGUCAACUGGUUUCUAUGGAUGCUUGUGGUUUGUGAGGAAGAUCUACUCUUCUGUGAAGAUUGACUAGCCCAUGGGCCAUAGACAUAAAACAAGCCUCUUCUAACAAACUUGGAAGCCGAUACUAGAACUAGUUGUAGACUAGAAAGAGAGGAAAAUGCUGUAUGAUUACAAAACGAAAAUACUGGGUUUUUUCACUUGUUAAGAGUAAACACUGUGUUAACUAUGGUUGAUCACGUACGUGAAGUGGGUGCCAACUUGCACAUUUUAGAUGUGACUCGCAAGCGUCACUCCUCAUCAGGACUCUGGUCUCCCAUCAAAUCAGUCGCCGCCAGAGCCAACGGCCGCCCUGUUCGAGUUUCUCCCCUGCGACUCAACCUGGAGUAUAAUGAUUCCAAAAACAUAAAUUUCUGCCUACCCAGGUAUCUCCAAUGACAAUAACA
rnacentral:misc_RNA from 1 species